UCUGCUUCACUUGGUGAUUCUUUCUAUUUCUCUUUGUUUCUUUCCUUCAUCACUUUUAAUUUUCAAUUUUUCAUCUCUCUUUUGUUUUGUUUGCAGAAUAAUUUGUAUGUUAUUUUUGGAUUUUUAGUCGUCGUUCGUGCUUUGCUCUGGAUUAUGACCAACAAGGUAAGCUUUCUGGUUUUGGAUUGUUGUCUGCCUCUUUUGAUAUCUUAUCUUAGACGAUAUUAUUCAAAUGUGAGAUCUAAGAGGAUUGUAAUAGCUUUUGUUUUGUGGAAUAUUUUCCCUUCUCCUUCUUCAUGCUGGACCUAAUAGGAAAUAAAAUUAAUUUGAAGGCUGCUGUAAAAAAAUUUAUGCAUUUGGCUCUUUGUUAGUUAUUUUGCACAUGCAUGUACUCAUCCAAUAUUUUGUGUCAAUGUUGUAGCUGUCGAUGGUAUUAAGAAGAAUAUAAUGAAUAGAGAAAGCUGUGAAAAAAGUUUUCAAAGGUUUAUGUCCUGUCAAAUUUUUUAGUCGGCCUUUUAACUAAUUACUUGUGAUCUUACAAUGAUGUUGGUUGGUAUGUCGAUUGGUUCUAAUUUUAGAGAUUUUACUGAAAAAAAGAUUGGGCAAGCCGUAGCGGUAUCGAAGCUGAUGGAAGUCGUGGUACAUCAUUCAAAUUUUUUCGUGUGAAAACACUAUUAUUUUUUUCUCUCUCACCGAUUCAAUCAAACUAUCUGUACAUUUUUCAGUGAGGGAAAAUAGUAACUUUAGUAGUGAUUUUAUCCAAAGAAGUUCCUUUUGAGCAUUUAGUUGGGUAUUUGUGUGAUAGAUAUAUAAGCAUAUAUCUGAAAUUAUAGUUGGAAGAACGAUCAACUUAUAUAUUUUUACCUAAUUUGGUGAUGGCUGGAUUAAGUUUUGAUUGAUUGUUUUAAGCUAAUUGUGAUUUCAUUGAUAAAAAGUUUGUGAUAAAAUAAAUUGAAAGCAAAAAACCUUACUACAUUGGCGUCUACUAUUUUUUAAACCUUACAUUAUGUUAAUUACUAGAUCAUCAUCUCAUUUCACAUGUUUAUAGCUUUACAGUGUCAUAUUUGAUAUACUUGUUUACUCAUGGAGGCACCUUUGAUAUACAUGUUUACUCAUGGAGGCACCUUUGUACCCAACACUCAGCAAAUAGAAAAAUUAGGUCUGCCACUAAUUUAGGACUUUUUGAAUCCUCAGGUGAAUGGUGCAACUACAAAGGAGACUGUGUUAAGAUUGUAUGUAUUUCUCUCGAUUGCAGUGAUGUCUCUGCUUGAUUGUAAAGAAGGAGAAUGAGCAUAUAAUCAAAGUUUCAAGAUCUAAAAAAAGAAUAUGUAUAAGUGACAUAGAUACGUUGAGAGUGAUUAGCAAGGUAAUUGAAGGAGCCAGAAGCGACCACAUAGGAAAUUUUGAGUGUCUGCCAAGUACUAUUCAAUAGCACUACAAGAGGAAGAGAGAAGAUCGCUUCAAUGCGCUCCCCAACGAAUGAGGCUACGUAUAUAAACAAAGGUUCCAUGCUCUGACGAUUUCAAUUUGGCAUUUUAUAAAUAAAAAAAUGCUUGGCCUAUUAUGUAGGAGGCUUGCUAGGCUCUCAAUCACUUUCAUCAAACUAUUAGACAAGUUCUUAUGUCAUAUAGCAAUUUUAUUUGUUCAAUUCACUUUUGGAAAAUGAGGUAUCUGCAGAACAAAAGACAAUUCACGAGUGGCUUACCGUAACUUCUUCUAGGAAUGCAAAAUGGUGGUGUUCGACAUUUCACAAUAUUACAGCUAUGGUUGGAACCGGUGUCCUCAAUCUUCCUUAUGCUAUGUCUCACCUUGGAUGGUACGUGUUAGUUUAUAGAGAUUAUAUGUCCAUAGAAAGUGUAACUUGGGGCUUCUGUUGUGAAAUAUCAUUUAUUUUGGAUGUAAAUCAAUUUUACGGGACCUGGUGUGAUGUAACAGUGCUGGUGAAUAUCUUGGAUUAUAACUUUGUACACUUUAUGUCAAAUAAUUGAGAUGCACAAAAUGGUUCCAGUAAAACGCUUCUAUAUAUAUCAUGAGUUGGGCAGUAUGCUUUUGGGAAAAGCUUGGGUUAUGGGGGUGCCCCAACAGGUAAUUGUCGAAGUUGGCAUUGACAUUGUUUACUUGACGACUGGGUAAAAUCACUCAAGAAGGUCGAUUAUUUAGUGUGCAUACAAGAUUGCACAAAUAUGACUAUUUUGUGCUCUCUCAUUUUUCCAACUUAGAUUCUCUAUUCGGUAUGUCUUUGAUGGCUGUUGUCAUGUCCUUAAAGGUAUUCAAAAUUAUUAGUACUAGUAUUUAUUUUCCUUUCUGCCCAUUAAUAUUUAAGUUGUUGUCAUGUCCUUAAAGGUAUUCAAAAUUAUUAGUACUACUAUUUAUUUUCCUUUCUGCCCAUUAAUAUUUAAGUCCCGUCUAUCUGACUAUUGUAUAUGUGAGUGACAAUUAAUGUAGUUACUCUGCAAUUGGCUGAGGGAAUUCAACUAAGCGUGGAGCUAGAUGUGGACUAUAGCUACUCCGCUAAAAUCAAUUUGGGAGUCGUUUUCGACUUUUUCACAUUGAGAGAUGUGGCUUUUGCUUAAGGUGGUUAUAAUGUGAUGUAGGAGAUUCAAGCUACAAUUCUUUCAAUGACAGUAGCCUUCCAAAGGACCCAUGUGGAGGGGGUGUCGUAGUUGUUUACUCAGAAGUUUAAGGUAGUCAGAAUGUUGCUUGACUUGAGCUUCUGUUCAUCCUUCUAAUCAAGUUGCUUUGCACAAGUUCUACUUCUGAAAUUAUAUGUGCAAUC
rnacentral:lncRNA from 1 species